GACGAACGCUGGCGGCGUGCUUAACACAUGCAAGUCGAACGGAAAGGCCCCUUUGGGGGUACUCGAGUGGCGAACGGGUGAGUAACACGUGAGUAACCUGCCCUUGACUUCGGGAUAACUUCAGGAAACUGGGGCUAAUACCGGAUAGGAAUCCUUGCUGCCUGGUGGGGGUUGGAAAGCUUCGGCGGGUUUGGAUGGACUCGCGGCUUAUCAGCUUGUUGGUGGGGUAGUGGCUUACCAAGGCUUUGACGGGUAGCCGGCCUGCGAGGGCGACCGGCCACAGUGGGGCUGAGAUACGGCCCAGACUCCUACGGGAGGCAGCAGUGGGGAAUAUUGCACAAUGGGCGGAAGCCUGAUGCAGCAACGGCGCGGGCGGGAUGACGGCCUUCGGGUUGUAAACCGCUUUCAGCAGGGGCGAAGCUUGUGGUGACGGUACCUGCAGAAGAAGCACCGGCUAACUACGUG
rnacentral:rRNA from 1 species